rnacentral:tRNA from 1 species
GCCUGUGUGGCUCAGUCGGUUGAGCAUCUGACUUCGGCUCAGGUCAUGAUCUCACAGUUCGUGAGUUCGAGCCCCAUGUCAGGCU